rnacentral:rRNA from 1 species
UACGGAGGGUGCAAGCGUUAUCCGGAUUCAUUGGGUUUAAAGGGCGCGUAGGUGGAUUGGUAAGUCAGUGGUGAAAUCUCCGGGCUUAACCCGGAAACUGCCAUUGAUACUAUCAGUCUUGAAUACCGUGGAGGUCAGUAGAAUAUGUCAUGUAGCGGUGAAAUGCUUAGAUAUGACAUAGAAUACCAAUGGCGAAGGCAGCUGGCUGGACGAAUAUUGACACUCAGGCACGAAAGCGUGGGGAUCAAACAGG